rnacentral:piRNA from 2 species
UACAUCUUUGCAUUAUUUUCACACAGCCUGU